AGAGUUAACUUCAUGCACACAUCAUUCUUCUUAUCAUUUCAAUCUUAAAAAAGCUACAGAGCAAGCAAAUGCACAAUCCGUCAUAAACAAAAGGAAGGAAAAAGAGGAAGUGGGCAGGCUUGGAUUUUCAAUCAAAUAUCGUUCCUUCUCAACUGUAUCUACCAAGCUACCAUAUUCUAGAUUACUGCAAGAGGUUUGACCUAUUCUUUACUCAAAAGUGCUAAAGCUUGCCAGAUCAGGAGAUUUAAGACGAGAAUAGAAGUCGAAGUGAUUCAAAUCUUUGAAACCGAAAGCUAAAGAAGUGAUCCCACCUGUGCAUAUAUUCCAUACAAGUCAUUUAGUUUCCUGUAAUAGCUAGAGGUAUUUCUUUUGAUAAUCUCCUGCUAGUCUCUGCUCGUUCCUUGAAGGCUUGUAUGCUUAAAGGCAUGGUCCAGAUAUAC
rnacentral:lncRNA from 1 species